rnacentral:tRNA from 1 species
GUAAGGUUUUAAGUUAAUUAAACUAUAAGCCUUCAAAGCUUAAUAUAAAAAAAUAUUUUUAAACCUUGCUC